GAUGAACGCUGGCGGCGUGCCUAAUACAUGCAAGUCGAGCGAACGGACGAGAAGCUUGCUUUUCUGAUGUUAGCGGCGGACGGGUGAGUAACACGUGGAUAACCUACCUAUAAGACUGGGAUAACUUCGGGAAACCGGAGCUAAUACCGGAUAAUAUUUUGAACCGCAUGGUUCAAAAGUGAAAGACGGUCUUGCUGUCACUUAUAGAUGGAUCCGCGCUGCAUUAGCUAGUUGGUAAGGUAACGGCUUACCAAGGCAACGAUGCAUAGCCGACCUGAGAGGGCGAUCGGCCACACUGGAACUGAGACACGGUCCAGACUCCUACGGGAGGCAGCAGUUGGGAAUCUUCCGCAAUGGGCGAAAGCCUGACGGAGCAACGCCGCGUGAGUGAUGAAGGUCUUCGGAUCGUAAAACUCUGUUAUUAGGGAAGAACAUAUGUGUAAGUAACUGUGCACAUCUUGACGGUACCUAAUCAGAAAGCCACGGCUAACUACGUGCCAGCAGCCGCGGUAAUACGUAGGUGGCAAGCGUUAUCCGGAAUUAUUGGGCGUAAAGCGCGCGUAGGCGGUUUUUUAAGUCUGAUGUGAAAGCCCACGGCUCAACCGUGGAGGGUCAUUGGAAACUGGAAAACUUGAGUGCAGAAGAGGAAAGUGGAAUUCCAUGUGUAGCGGUGAAAUGCGCAGAGAUGUGGAGGAACACCAGUGGCGAAGGCGACUUUCUGGUCUGUAACUGACGCUGAUGUGCGAAAGCGUGGGGAUCAAACAGGAUUAGAUACCCUGGUAGUCCACGCCGUAAACGAUGAGUGCUAAGUGUUAGGGGGUUUCCGCCCCUUAGUGCUGCAGCUAACGCAUUAAGCACUCCGCCUGGGGAGUACGACCGCAAGGUUGAAACUCAAAGGAAUUGACGGGGGCCCGCACAAGCGGUGGAGCAUGUGGUUUAAUUCGAAGCAACGCGAAGAACCUUACCAAAUCUUGACAUCCUUUGACAACUCUAGAGAUAGAGCCUUCCCCUUCGGGGGACAAAGUGACAGGUGGUGCAUGGUUGUCGUCAGCUCGUGUCGUGAGAUGUUGGGUUAAGUCCCGCAACGAGCGCAACCCUUAAGCUUAGUUGCCAUCAUUAAGUUGGGCACUCUAAGUUGACUGCCGGUGACAAACCGGAGGAAGGUGGGGAUGACGUCAAAUCAUCAUGCCCCUUAUGAUUUGGGCUACACACGUGCUACAAUGGACAAUACAAAGGGCAGCGAAACCGCGAGGUCAAGCAAAUCCCAUAAAGUUGUUCUCAGUUCGGAUUGUAGUCUGCAACUCGACUACAUGAAGCUGGAAUCGCUAGUAAUCGUAGAUCAGCAUGCUACGGUGAAUACGUUCCCGGGUCU
rnacentral:rRNA from 1 species